GAGAGCCGCAAGACAUGGUGCAGCAGAGGCCUGAAGGGGUUUCGCCCGCAGACUGGGGCACGAUGAUGAAAGCUCAUAAAAAAAUGAAAAACACCCAGUUGGGGGUUGAUAAGAAGAAGGAGAAGAAGGAUAUUGCACUAUCAUAACUGCCAUUGCACCAUCAUUGCAGCAUGCGAGAAUGAAAAACACCCAAGUGAGAGUUGAUAAGAAGAAGGAGAAGAAGGAGAAGGAGGAGAAGGAGGAGAAGGAGAAGAAAGAAAAGAAGGAGAAGGCCAAGAAGGCGAAGAGAUAACGACAGCAGGCAUAUGGCCGUGUCUACAGUGAUCCCCCACCAAGGCCCUCCUAGCCCCUCGUCUUAAUGAUGUGGAGGAAUUCCCACACCUGGAGAAGUCACCCCUGAGAGCCUCUGCAAAGACACCCAUUCUCAAUUUACCACAUGCAGUUUGAUGACGACAGCAGGCAUAUGGCCGUGUUUACAGGAAGUCCCUCCUUGAUGUCCCCUGCAACGAAAGCCAUUGCACCGGCCACGCCACCAACACUGGCAGGAGUUAAUGCCCCAUUAUCUUCCGUCUUCGGUUUCUG
rnacentral:misc_RNA from 1 species